UGCAUUCACUACUGUAAGUCGCUCUGGAUAAGAGUGUCUGCUAAAUGACUGUAA
rfam:Salmo salar isolate Sally breed double haploid chromosome ssa11, whole genome shotgun sequence.